rnacentral:rRNA from 1 species
GAUGAACGCUAGCGGCAGGCUUAAUACAUGCAAGUCGAGGGCAGCAGUCCCGCAGCAAUGCGGGAGCUGGCGACCGGCAAACGGGUGCGGAACACGUACAGAACCUUCCUUCGAGCGGGGAAUAGCCCAGAGAAAUUUGGAUCAAUACCCCAUAGCAUUACGAAGUGGCAUCACUUUGUAAUUAAAGAUUUAUCACUCGAAGAUGGCUGUGCGGCUGAUUAGGUAGUUGGCGGAGUAACGGCCCACCAAGCCUUCGAUCAGUAACUGGUGUGAAG